CGCAAAAGACAAAGAUCUCGCCCCCGGCUGUCGCAAGUCGCAACCUGAGCUUCUUCUCAAUAAAUUAAGACGUCAUAUCUCCCUCCCGAAUGGCCGGAGCCGUCUUCUUCUUAGGUCACGCCCUCCGGUGCACGGUUCGCCGAGCUCUCCCUUCUUGCUCUCCUGCUUGUUUCCUCGGUGCAGGGUACUCAAAAAUGGCUGAGGUAACAGCAGAAAAUGGUUACAAUCAUAUCACUCGUGUGCUAUUCUGCGGUUUUUAUUGGUCUGCUUCUCAAAAAUACACAAGGGAAUAUUUGCAGAACUAUCCAUUUAUUCAGAUUGAUGAAGUAGCUCUUGAUGACGUGCCUGAUGUUAUUGACAAAUACCAUAUUUGUGUAGUGAAAAAUCGGCGAAUGGACUCAAAAGUUAUUGCAAAAGCAGUUCAGAUGAAGCUUAUAAUGCAGUUUGGUGUUGGGUUAGAAGGUGUUGAUAUUGAUGCUGCCACACGACAUAAAAUUAAAGUUGCAAGGAUACCUGGAAGUGUAACCGGAAAUUCUGCAUCUUGUGCAGAAAUGGCAAUAUAUUUGAUGUUGGGUCUUCUUCGGAAGCAAAAGGAGAUGGAUGUUGCUGUAAAGCAGAAAAAUUUGGGAGAACCAACUGGGGAUACACUACUUGGGAAGACGGUCCUUAUCCUGGGAUUUGGAGCUAUUGGAGUUGACCUGGCAAAAAGAUUGCGAUCAUUUGGUGUAAAGAUCCUUGCAAUUAAAAGAAGAUGGACAUCAGAUUCAUUGCCAGCUGGUGUCUCAAAUGCUCAAAGUGAUGGGUUUGAUGGCCUGAUUGAUAAGAAAGGUGGUCCAGAGAAUAUGUAUGAAUUUGCUAGCGAGGCUGAUAUAGUUGUCACCUGCUUGACAUUAACCACUGAAUCAGUGAAGUCUCAUCUUCCUAUGUUGUUGUUAUUCUUCCAUAAAUUUGUCUGUUUCCUAUCUAAUGAAUUGUUACAAAUUUCAGGCUGGCAUUGUCGACGAAAAAUUCCUCUCACAUAUGAGAAAGGUUUGCAUAUUACUCAUGAAGACACAGUAUGUUUGUUAGGACAGAUUGUUGCUGUUGUCCUCAUCAUUGUCAUUAUUGUUGGGUUCCCUUCUGGUCAACGUUGCUCGAGGAGGUCUAUUGGAGUACAAUUCUGUUCUUCAUCACCUUGAAUCAGGAAACUUAGGUGGCCUAGGCAUUGAUGUUGCUUGGACUGAGCCAUUUGAUCCUGAUGAUCCGAUUCUGAAGUUUCCAAAUGUUUUGAUCACACCUCAUGUUGCGGGGGUUACCGAACAUUCCUAUAGAACUAUGGCGAAGGUUGUUGGUGACUGCGCCCUUCAACUUCAUGCUGGCAAACCAUUUUCAGGAAUAGAGAUUGUGAAUUAGAUGGUAGAGCUCGGUUGUGACCAAGGAAAAAAGAAAAGAGUUCAGCCAUGGAAAGGUCUGGAGGGCUAUUGGACCAUGCUCGGCCAUUCAUUUUAAAAAUAAAUGUCUAAAACAAACUAUUUGAUGAAUCUUAGGAUGGUCGAUAUUGGACAUCCUGCACUAAAUUUGAAUCUGCCUUUCAUAUCAUUAUGCUGGCUUCGGUACCAGGAUGCUUCUUGCAAGGAUGGCAGAGUAAUAUGAGCCUUAUCCUUGGAUUGGUAGGUAGAUUUUGCAGACCUA